AUUGAACGCUGGCGGCAGGCCUAACACAUGCAAGUCGAACGAGUGGCGGACGGGUGAGUAAUGUCUGGGAAACUGCCCGAUGGAGGGGGAUAACUACUGGAAACGGUAGCUAAUACCGUAUACCAUCGGAUGUGCCCAGAUGGGAUUAGUCAGAAGGUGGGGUAACGGCUCACCUAGGCGACGAUCCCUAGCUGGUCUGAGAGGAUGACCGUCCACACGGGAACUGGGACACGGUCCAGACUCCUACGGAAGGCAGCAGUGGGAAGUAAUGCACAGUGGGCGCGAGCCUAAUGCAACCUUACCGCGUGUAUGAAGAAGGCCUUCGGGUGGGAAGGUACUUUCAGCGAGGAGGCAUUACUCGCAGAAGAAGCAUCGGCUAACUCCGUGCCAGCAGCCUCGGUAAUAC
rnacentral:rRNA from 1 species